rnacentral:lncRNA from 1 species
GAUCUUGUAUUGGUUUAAGUCAUUUGCAUGAUUUAGGAAACAACUUAUCCUUAAUGCAAAGCCAUUCACUUGAUCAAUUGAUCAAGAUGACAUAGAUUUGGAUCAAGGAAGGUUAAGUCUCCCUAAUCAAUGCCAACUUAUCAACCUUCAACUCAUUGAUCAAAAAGAAAAAAAAGAAGAAGAAGAAGGAGAUGAAUAUGAGAAAAGGAAAUGACAAAAUAAAAUGCAUUAAAUGG